GGCCUGGUGGUCUAGUAGUAUGAUUCCUUCUUAGGGUUAAGAACCAUCUGGAGGAGGUCCCGGGUUCAAUUCCCGGUCAGGCCC